ACCGUCCAGUCCUUUUCCCAUCAGAUGAACACGCUGGUCUGGGUGGCCAUAACAGGAAGAAAGGUGACAUUGGAAUUGACGUACUAAUAAUGGUAAGUGCAAGAAUGA
rnacentral:snoRNA from 1 species